rnacentral:rRNA from 1 species
UACGUAGGGUGCGAGCGUUAAUCGGAAUUACUGGGCGUAAAGCGUGCGCAGGCGGCGCGUUAAGACAGGUGUGAAAGCCCCGAGCUUAACUUGGGAAUUGCGCUUGUGACUGGCGUGCUGGAGUGUGGCAGAGGGAGGUGGAAUUCCACGUGUAGCAGUGAAAUGCGUAGAUAUCGGGAGGAAUACCAGUGGCGAAGGCGGCUUCUUGGCCUGUUCUUGACGCUGAGGCGG